rnacentral:rRNA from 1 species
CCAGCUCCAAUAGCGUAUAUUUAAGUUGUUGCAGUUAAAAAGCUCGUAGUUGGAUUUUGGGUUGGAGCGACCGGUCCGCCUUUUGGGUGUGCACUGGUCUCUCCAUCCUUCUUGUCGGGGACGCGCUUCUUGCCUUAACUGGCUGGGACGUGGAGUCGGCGAUGUUACUUUGAAAAAAUUAGAGUGUUCAAAGCAGGCAUAUGCUCUGAAUACAUUAGCAUGGAAUAACAUUAUAGGACUCCGGUCCUAUUGUGUUGGUCUUCGGGACCGGAGUAAUGAUUAAUAGGGACAGUUGGGGGCAUUCGUAUUUCAUUGUCAGAGGUGAAAUUCUUGGAUUUAUGAAAGACGAACUUCUGCGAAAGCAUUUGCCAAGGAUGUUUUCA